rnacentral:rRNA from 1 species
UGCCAGCCGCCGCGGUAAUACGGAGGGUGCAAGCGUUGUUCGGAAUUAUUGGGCGUAAAGCGCACGUAGGCGGACUUUUAAGUCAGAUGUGAAAUCCCGAGGCUCAACCUCGGAACUGCAUUUGAAACUGGGAGUCUAGAGAUCAGGAGAGGUUAGUGGAAUACCGAGUGUAGAGGUGAAAUUCGUAGAUAUUCGGUGGAACACCAGUGGCGAAGGCGACUAACUGGACCAAUACUGACGCUGAGAUGCGAAAGCGUGGGGAGCGAACAGGAUUAGAUA